rnacentral:tRNA from 1 species
GCUGAAAAGCUCAGUUGGUUAGAGCAUGGUGAUGAUAAUGCCAAGGUUUCAGGUUCGAUCAGCUGCAUAUUCCUGCC